CCUACGGGUGGCAGCAGUGAGGAAUAUUGGUCAAUGGCCGGAAGGCUGAACCAGCCAUGCCGCGUGAAGGUCAGUGCCCUAUGGGCGUUAAACUUCUUUUGUGCGGGAGCAAUAAUGGUCACGUGUGGCCAGACGAGAGUACCGUACGAAUAAGCAUCGGCUAACUCCGUGCAAGCAGCCGCGGUAAUACGGGGGUGGCAAGCGUUAUCCGGAUUUAUUGGGUUGAAAGGGUGCGUAGGCUGUGAGGUAAGUCAGCGGUGAAAUGCCCCCGGUCAACGGGGGGAAGUGCCAUUGAUACGGCCGUGCUGGAGUGCGGAUGCCGUGGGAGGAAUGUGUGGUGUAGCGGUGAAAUGCAUAGAUAUCACACAGAACACCGAUUGCGAAGGCAGCUCACGAAUCCGCGAUUGACGCUGAUGCACGAAAGCGUGGGGAGCAAACAGGAUUAGAUACCCUUGUAGUC
rnacentral:rRNA from 1 species